rnacentral:rRNA from 1 species
GUUGAACGCUGGCGGCAGGCCUAACACAUGCAAGUCGAACGAGUGGCGGACGGGUGAGUGAUGCUUGGGAAUAUAGCUAAUGGAAGGGGCUAACUACGGGAAACUGUAGCUAAUACCGCGUACGAUAGGAUGAGCCCUCGUGGGAGUAGGUAGUUGGUGAGGUAAAGUCUCACAAAGCCGACGAUGUCUAGCUGGUCUGAGAGGCGGACAAGCCACACUGGGACUGAGACACGGCCCAGACUCCUACGGGAGGCAGAAGUGGGGAAUAUGGCGCAAUGGGGGCAACCUGACGCAGCCAUGCCGCGUGAAUGAAGAAGGUCUUCGGGUUGUAAAGUUCUUUUGUUAGCGAGGCGUUAACUACAGAAGAAGCAACGGCUAACUCCGUGCCAGCAGCCGCGGUAAUAC